rnacentral:rRNA from 1 species
GGUUAAGCGACUAAGCGUACACGGUGGAUGCCCUGGCAGUCAGAGGCGAUGAAGGACGUGCUAAUCUGCGAUAAGCGUCGGUAAGGUGAUAUGAACCGUUAUAACCGGCGAUUUCCGAAUGGGGAAACCCAGUGUGAUUCGUCACACUAUCAUUAACUGAAUCCAUAGGUUAAUGAGGCGAACCGGGGGAACUGAA